CCGAGUGAAGGGUCUCCUCGCGAGGCCCGACCUCCCAACCCUGUGUUUACCCAACCCACACGUGUUGCUUCGGCGGACCGGGACUGCCCCUCUCCCGGGGCGGGACACCGCCGGGGGAACGCCCGCGAGGGCUGCCCCCGGAGAGUCGUCCGCCGACGGCCCCUCAACCAAAAUUCUACAACCAAACCAGUCACGAUUCUGAAUCAGACCUUUGAUGUAUCAAUCAAAAAAACA
rnacentral:misc_RNA from 1 species